AGUGAACGCUGGCGGUAGGCCUAACACAUGCAAGUCGAACGGCAGCACAGUAAGAGCUUGCUCUUACGGGUGGCGAGUGGCGGACGGGUGAGGAAUACAUCGGAAUCUACUUUUUCGUGGGGGAUAACGUAGGGAAACUUACGCUAAUACCGCAUACGACCUGCGGGUGAAAGCAGGGGAUCUUCGGACCUUGCGCGAUUGAAUGAGCCGAUGUCGGAUUAGCUAGUUGGCGGGGUAAAGGCCCACCAAGGCGACGAUCCGUAGCUGGUCUGAGAGGAUGAUCAGCCACACUGGAACUGAGACACGGUCCAGACCCCUACGGGAGGCAGCAGUGGGGAAUAUUGGACAAUGGGCGCAAGCCUGAUCCAGCCAUACCGCGUGGGUGAAGAAGGCCUUCGGGUUGUAAAGCCCUUUUGUUGGGAAAGAAAAGCAGCAGGUUAAUACCCCGCUGUUCUGACGGUACCCAAAGAAUAAGCACCGGCUAACUUCGUG
rnacentral:rRNA from 1 species